rnacentral:RNase_P_RNA from 1 species
CAAGUUGACCGGGUGAUCGCGGUUUCGGUUCGCCGAAGCUGAGGAAAGUCCGCACUCCACAGAGCAAGGUGCCGGCUAACGGCCGGGCGGGGUAACUCGACGGCAAGUGCAACAGAGAGGUAAAUUGCCGGGAGGGGCAACCCUUCCGGCGAGGGUGAAACGGUGGUGCAAGAGACCACCGGCGGUGGCAGCGAUGUCGCCGGCCAGGCAAACCCCACCAGGAGCAAGGCCAAGCAGGGCGAAAGGCGGCCGUUCGGCUGCCUACGGAGUUGCUCGCUCCGUCUGACGUCCGGGUAGGCUGCACGAGGCUUUCAGCAAUGAAAGUCCCAGAUAGAUGAUCGCCAGCGCCACGCGGUCCCGUGUGGUGUCCACAGAAUGCGGCUUACAGGUCGACUUGCCCA